UACGGAGGGUGCAAGCGUUAUCCGGAUUCACUGGGUUUAAAGGGUGCGUAGGUGGGCAGGUAAGUCAGUGGUGAAAUCUCCGGGCUUAACCCGGAACUGCCGUUGAUACUAUUUGUCUUGAAUAUAGUGGAGGUGAGCGGAAUAUGUCAUGUAGCGGUGAAAUGCUUAGAUAUGACAUAGAACACCAAUUGCGAAGGCAGCUUGCUAACACUAUUUAUUGACACUGAGGCACGAAAGCGUGGGGAUCAAACAGG
rnacentral:rRNA from 1 species